UUUAUGGAGAGUUUGAUCCUGGCUCAGGAUGAACGCUGGCGGCGUGCCUAAUACAUGCAAGUCGAGCGAACGGACGAGAAGCUUGCUUCUCUGAUGUUAGCGGCGGACGGGUGAGUAACACGUGGAUAACCUACCUAUAAGAUUGGGAUAACUUCGGGAAACCGGAGCUAAUACCGGAUAAUAUUUUGAACCGCAUGGUUCAAAAGUGAAAGACGGUCUUGCUGUCACUUAUAGAUGGAUCCGCGCUGCAUUAGCUAGUUGGUAAGGUAACGGCUUACCAAGGCAACGAUGCAUAGCCGACCUGAGAGGGUGAUCGGCCACACUGGAACUGAGACACGGUCCAGACUCCUACGGGAGGCAGCAGUAGGGAAUCUUCCGCAAUGGGCGAAAGCCUGACGGAGCAACGCCGCGUGAGUGAUGAAGGUCUUCGGAUCGUAAAACUCUGUUAUUAGGGAAGAACAUAUGUGUAAGUAACUGUGCACAUCUUGACGGUACCUAAUCAGAAAGCCACGGCUAACUACGUGCCAGCAGCCGCGGUAAUACGUAGGUGGCAAGCGUUAUCCGGAAUUAUUGGGCGUAAAGCGCGCGUAGGCGGUUUUUUAAGUCUGAUGUGAAAGCCCACGGCUCAACCGUGGAGGGUCAUUGGAAACUGGAAAACUUGAGUGCAGAAGAGGAAAGUGGAAUUCCAUGUGUAGCGGUGAAAUGCGCAGAGAUAUGGAGGAACACCAGUGGCGAAGGCGACUUUCUGGUCUGUAACUGACGCUGAUGUGCGAAAGCGUGGGGAUCAAACAGGAUUAGAUACCCUGGUAGUCCACGCCGUAAACGAUGAGUGCUAAGUGUUAGGGGGUUUCCGCCCCUUAGUGCUGCAGCUAACGCAUUAAGCACUCCGCCUGGGGAGUACGACCGCAAGGUUGAAACUCAAAGGAAUUGACGGGGACCCGCACAAGCGGUGGAGCAUGUGGUUUAAUUCGAAGCAACGCGAAGAACCUUACCAAAUCUUGACAUCCUUUGACAACUCUAGAGAUAGAGCUUUCCCCUUCGGGGGACAAAGUGACAGGUGGUGCAUGGUUGUCGUCAGCUCGUGUCGUGAGAUGUUGGGUUAAGUCCCGCAACGAGCGCAACCCUUAAGCUUAGUUGCCAUCAUUAAGUUGGGCACUCUAAGUUGACUGCCGGUGACAAACCGGAGGAAGGUGGGGAUGACGUCAAAUCAUCAUGCCCCUUAUGAUUUGGGCUACACACGUGCUACAAUGGACAAUACAAAGGGCAGCGAAACCGCGAGGUCAAGCAAAUCCCAUAAAGUUGUUCUCAGUUCGGAUUGUAGUCUGCAACUCGACUACAUGAAGCUGGAAUCGCUAGUAAUCGUAGAUCAGCAUGCUACGGUGAAUACGUUCCCGGGUCUUGUACACACCGCCCGUCACACCACGAGAGUUUGUAACACCCGAAGCCGGUGGAGUAACCUUUUAGGAGCUAGCCGUCGAAGGUGGGACAAAUGAUUGGGGUGAAGUCGUAACAAGGUAGCCGUAUCGGAAGGUGCGGCUGGAUCACCUCCUUU
rnacentral:rRNA from 1 species